rnacentral:rRNA from 1 species
UACGUAGGGACCAAGCGUUUGUCCGGAAUCAUUGGGCGUAAAGAGCGUGUAGGCGGCUUGUUAAGUCUUGCGUGAAAUCUCGGGGCUCAACCCCGAGCGGUCGUGAGAAACUGGCAGGCUAGAGUGCGGGAGAGGAGAGUGGAAUUCCUGGUGUAGCGGUGAAAUGCGCAGAUAUCAGGAAGAACACCCGUGGCGAAGGCGGCUCUCUGGAACGCAACUGACGCUGAGACGCGAAAGCGUGGGGAGCAAACAGG